rnacentral:rRNA from 1 species
GACGAACGCUGGCGGCGUGCUUAACACAUGCAAGUCGAACGGAAAGGCCCUGCUUUUGUGGGGUGCUCGAGUGGCGAACGGGUGAGUAACACGUGAGUAACCUGCCCUUGACUUUGGGAUAACUUCAGGAAACUGGGGCUAAUACCGGAUAGGAGCUCCUGCUGCAUGGUGGGGGUUGGAAAGUUUCGGCGGUUGGGGAUGGACUCGCGGCUUAUCAGCUUGUUGGUGGGGUAGUGGCUUACCAAGGCUUUGACGGGUAGCCGGCCUGAGAGGGUGACCGGCCACAUUGGGACUGGGAUACGGCCCAGACUCCUACGGGAGGCAGCAGUGGGGAAUAUUGCACAAUGGGCGGAAGCCUGAUGCAGCAACGCCGCGUGCGGGAUGACGGCCUUCGGGUUGUAAACCGCUUUCGCCUGUGACGAAGCGUGAGUGACGGUAAUGGGUAAAGAAGCACCGGCUACUACGUG